UACGUAGGGAGCAAGCGUUGUCCGGAAUCAUUGGGCGUAAAGCGCGCGUAGGUGGCUCUGUAAGUCCGUUGUGAAAGUCAAAGGCUCAACCUUUGAAAGCCGAUGGAUACUGCAGAGCUAGAGUACGGAAGAGGCGAGUGGAAUUCCUGGUGUAGCGGUGGAAUGCGCAGAUAUCAGGAAGAACACCAAUGGCGAAGGCAGCUCUCUGGGACGGUACUGACACUGAGACGCGAAAGCGUGGGGAGCGAACAGG
rnacentral:rRNA from 1 species